rnacentral:rRNA from 1 species
CCUGGGGAAGGAUCAUUG